UACGUAGGGUGCAAGCGUUGUCCGGAAUUAUUGGGCGUAAAGAGCUCGUAGGCGGUCUGUCGCGUCGGCUGUGAAAACCCGGAGCUCAACUCCGGGCCUGCAGUCGAUACGGGCAGACUGGAGUUCGGCAGGGGAGACUGGAAUUCCUGGUGUAGCGGUGAAAUGCGCAGAUAUCAGGAGGAACACCGGUGGCGAAGGCGGGUCUCUGGGCCGAUACUGACGCUGAGGAGCGAAAGCGUGGGGAGCGAGCAGG
rnacentral:rRNA from 1 species